ensembl:lncRNA
GCACACGCCUGUGCCUGGGUAACCACUAAGCACACGCUAAUGAAACAGAAAAGGGAAGGGCAUCUGGAAGUGUGGUUAAGGGCUGAGGAUCUGGGGAGCUCCCUGAUGGACCAGCGAUAAGGAUCCGGCCUUGUCACUGCAGUGACUCGGGUCAUGGCUGUGGCUCAGGUUCAUUCUCUGGCCUGGAAACUUGGAUAUGUCAUGGGCGCUGCCAAGAAAAAAAGCUAAGGAUCUGGACCCAGCCUCCCUGGCUGUGAAGCCCACCUCCACCACUCCCUGCUGUGUGACCUUCGGCAAGUUCCUUAACCUCUCUGUGCCUCCGUUUCCUCAUCUGUAUCCUGGGGAUAAUAGUUGUUACUUCCGUUGCAGAACUAUCGAGAGGGCAGUGCAUUGACACCACACAGUGCCCAGCGCUAGGAAGUGCUCAGUGCACGCGAGCUCUGUUGUGUAACUAGAUUCAGGCCAGUGCUCGUGACUCUCCAUGGCGAGGACCAGUUUGCUUGUCUGCCUUUAAUCUGUGUUGGACUGAAACUUUCACAAAUAUAACAAAAACAAAUCAUGAGGAAGAUGUAGGGAAAAACAUUUUUUUUUUUUUUGGCCAAACCUGUGUGCCAUGUGGAAGUUCCUGGGCCAGAGAUCGAACCCGAGCUGCAGCUAUAACCAUAGCCACAGCAGUGACAAGUCCGGAUCCUUAACCCACUGAGCCACGAGGGACCUCCAGGGAAAACAUUUUAAAGACAGAACCAGGCCACUGAGGACAGGUUGUGGUGCCGUCAGAUCGCCUCUCCUUUCUAAACCCUUGACUUCAGCUUCUGUGCCCUUUGGUCACAGGUCAGUAAGAGUUGGUGGCCCCUCUGAGGAGCGCUGACAUCCACCAACUGAUUUUCAUGACUAGGCUGCCUCGGAAACAACCCUAAUAUCCGUAACAGGGGACAGUUCAGGUCCCCGUGCGCCCGUGACGAAGUCGCCUUUUUACCGUUGCUGGGUGGUGGAGUCUGCACAUGGGUUUGUUCUUAUAUAAUUGUAUCUAUAUUCCAAAGUUUUCCCAGUGAGUAUCUAUUAUUUUUGUAAUAACAACCACCACGGGGGGCAGGAUUUAAACCUGAAAGAAUGUGAAUCUUUCAAAUUCUGCAAGAAGUCAUAGGGUCCGGGGUCCAGACCGAGUAAAGGCAGCCAGCCACAGGCGCGCAGUUUUAGUCGCUAUUUUCAGCUCCAUUGGCGGGUCAAGCAGAAGCAGAACUGAGCACACCUGCAAGUACUUUGCACAGAACCAGGGGCUCUGGCUGAUUCAUUGCCUAAGAAAACCAGAAACUCACUCACGCCCAGGUUUGGAGCACGGAUAACGGCCUAGACUGGCGUGCUUUCUCAAGAUGUAUAUUUGAGAGGAGGGGCAGUCUGAAGAGAGAGAAAAAACCCAACACUCAGAUCUCCUUUUUGGGUUGUGUACCUGCGUGAAAACUGAGGCUGGGUCUUAUCUUCGAGGCCGCAGGCACAGCAGGGAGGAAGCUUUUUCCCGAUGACUUUGACGACAGAAGUGGUACGGGGGGCAGCUGGUCCCCAGCCACAGACUCCACGGAGGGCACCGGAAGCUUCUCUGUCACCUGCAGGGAAACAAAACAGGGUGUGGGGAGCAGGUAGGAAAUGUCAAGGUCAUUUUGAACUGAAGGCAUGCACUAAUUAAACACCUACUGUGUGCCGGGUACACAAGUACCUCAGGGCAGACAAUGGGCAGAACCAUUGUGAAUAUUCGACCCCCAGAGAAGAAGGAGUGAAUGAAUGAAUGAGUGGUGCUCUCCUGGCUUUUUGUCCUCCUGCUUUUCGCUCCUGAACCAUCUGACCCAUGGAGGGGUUCUCAUCUAAACUCCUGUGACGGUUACCAUUUAAAGCCAUAGACUGCAUAAAGCCCACUGGCCUCCUCAACGGGGUGGGCCUCACC